AAAAUUGAAUGAUGAACAUAAACUCCUUAGCAGGCAUCAUAAGAAGGACACUGUUACGCUGCAACACUGAGUGGUGAAGCACAUAAGAGAGUCCAGAGUUAUUGGUUUCUGAAGAAUGAUGGGCCACGUUCUGUUCAGAGUGUUCAUUUUCGUCACACUUAUCUCAUUUUAUCUUUAAGCUCUUUUGACUAAUAAAUAAUUCACAAUUAACAUUUUCUGAAGUCUUUUUUUAUUUUUUGGUGAUAUUUAAAUUUGAGACACAACAUUGCUUUUAAAAAGUGUGUUGUUAUACAGGAGGUUCUGAAUAUCCCUUCAGCAAUCCAACAUGAUGAAUAUACAUAAUAGUUCAUUAGGAUUUCUGCAGAUGUCCUAUAGGAAUUGAACACUAAUGCAAAUUAGAUUUCCUGUAGGUUUCCUGCAGGAGUCCUGCAUGUUUCCUGUAGGUUUCCUGCAGGAAGUCCUGCAUGUUUCCUGUAGGUUUCUGUAGGAUUCCUGCAGGAGUCCUACAGGAAAAUGGUCACGAAAAUCCUGUGGGAUCCUGUAGGAAUGUGCAGGUAUGUGGUGUGUAGGUCCUGCAGGAUUUUUCCUGCAGGAUUCCUGCAGGAUUUUUUUGUAAGGGUAUAUGUUCAUUAAAAGAGAGAGAGAGAAAAAAGAAAACACUGCUGUGAGAGUGCAACAAAUGCCCAUCUAGUUUUUUCAGCAGCCUUGUUUCCAGAAGUAUUUUUUCCCAUUUUUUCUUUCCAUAGGGAUUUAAAAAGUCUUAAGUAAAGAGUUAAAGCCAUGAACUAACCAUCUAUGAGGUGAAUCACAACACUACAAACUUCGAUUUGGAGCUAAAAAGUAUUUGAAAGUCAAACAAAAAGAUAAAGGUACACUUAAAGGGUUACUCCACCCCAAAAUGAAAAUUUUGUCAUAAAUCACUUACCUCUUAAUGAUUAAU